CUGCGGAAGGCAGCAACAGACGAGCUGCAAGAAGUGGCCGGGGAGAGGGAAGUCUGGGCUUCCCCGCUCGAGCUGCUGAGCCCGCAUUGAAUGAGUCAAUG